UCCCUCAUAGCUCAGUCAGUACAGAAUCUGCCUGCAAUGCAGGAGACCCGGGUUCGAUCCCUGGGUUGGGAA
rnacentral:tRNA from 1 species